CUGAGGUGCCUGACAGCAAACAGAGAAAACCGGAUGCUGCAUGCCUUGUGGUCCUGGUCCGGUUAGCAGUACUGUUGAUAUGGUAUCAUGUGCGGAAGACAAUCAACUACCUCAGUUACACCCCUGAGAUAACAUUGCUCAGUUCACUCGCAGGAGGAAUACAUGCCCCGGCAGAAUAGUCUACAGUGCUUUGGAAGGACUCUAGCAACCAGAAUCUCAAGUUACAGUCUACAAUUCCGUCCAGUGAAAGCACCACAAGCCUCAGCAAGACAACAGGGCUUGCAAGGGGUAUGCUGCACUCUAACACCAAGGCCAUCUGUCUGUGUGUUAACACACCUGACGUCAGUGUGUUUAUUUGCUCAUUGUGUCUGGUCCAGGAGAAGCUGGCUCCCACCUUCGGAUAUGAAAAACUGUGCCUUGGCGUCACGACGUAAACAGAAAAUCCACAAUGGACCUGUCCUGUGUAAAAGUAGCCUAAGGCUGGAGGAUAACAUUUACCCUGCUCCCCUACAAGUGCAUGGGGAAGAAAUGGUAUGG